UACGAGAGGCCCAAACGUUAUUCGGAAUUACUGGGCUUAAAGAGUUCGUAGGCGCUAUGCAAGUAGGGUGUGAAAGCCCUCGGCUCAACCGAGGAAUUGCGCUCUAAACUGCAGUGCUUGAGGAAGCUAGAGGUGAGCAGAACAGAUGGUGGAGCGGUGAAAUGCGUUGAUAUCAUCUGGAAUACCGGAGGCGAAGGCGGCUCACUGGGGCUUUUCUGACGCUGAGGAACGAAGCCAGGGUAGCGAACGGG
rnacentral:rRNA from 1 species